GGUUAAGCGACUAAGCGUACACGGUGGAUGCCUAGGCAAUCAGAGGCGAUGAAGGACGUGCUAAUCUGCGAUAAGCGUCGGUAAGGUGAUAUGAACCGUUAUACCCGACGAUUU
rnacentral:rRNA from 1 species